CAACCCUCAGGCCCUCCCUUUCGGGGGAACGGCCUGGUGUUGGGGCCCGGCGACCGCUCCGGCGGUCCCCGUCCCCUAAAUUCAGUGGCGGUCGCGCCGCAGCCUCCCCUGCGUAGUAGCACACCUCGCAUUGGAGAGCGGCACGGCCACGCCUCGAAACCCCCAAUUUUUCAA
rnacentral:misc_RNA from 1 species